GCUCCGGUGGUGUAGUAGAAGCAUGCCCCCUUCGGGCGGUCUGCUGUCCGAGAUGUCUAUCUCAUUGGGGGUGGUCCUGGGUUCAACUCCCAGCCGGAGCC